rnacentral:rRNA from 1 species
AAUGAACGCUGGCGGCAGGCCUAACACAUGCAAGUCGAACGGGUCCUUCGGGACUAGUGGCGGACGGGUGAGUAACGCGUGGGAACGUGCCCCUUGGUACGGAAUAGCCCUGGGAAACUGGGAGUAAUACCGUAUGUGGUCGAGAGACGAAAGAUUUAUCGCCAAGGGAUCGGCCCGCGUUGGAUUAGGUAGUUGGUGGGGUAAUGGCCUACCAAGCCGACGAUCCAUAGCUGGUUUGAGAGGAUGAUCAGCCACACUGGGACUGAGACACGGCCCAGACUCCUACGGGAGGCAGCAGUGGGGAAUCUUAGACAAUGGGGGAAACCCUGAUCUAGCCAUGCCGCGUGAUCGAUGAAGGCCUUAGGGUCGUAAAGAUCUUUCAGAUGGGAAGAUAAUGACGGUACCAUCAGAAGAAGCCCCGGCUAACUCCGUGCCAGCAGCCGCGGUAA